UACAGAGGUCUCGAGCGUUAGGCGGAAUCACUGGGCUUAAAGCGUGUGUAGGCGGAUCGGUAAGUACCUUGUGAAAUCCCACAGCUUAACUGUGGAACUGCUUGGUAUACUGCCAGUCUUGAGCCAGCUAGGGGCUACCGGAACAAAUGGUGGAGCGGUGAAAUGCGUAGAUAUCAUUUGGAACGCCAAUGGUGAAAACAGGUAGCUGGGGCUGUGCUGACGCUGAGACACGAAAGCCGGGGGAGCAAACGGG
rnacentral:rRNA from 1 species